CCUACGGGAGGCAGCAGUGGGGAAUAUUGCACAAUGGGGGAAACCCUGAUGCAGCGACGCCGCGUGAGUGAAGAAGUAAUUCGUUAUGUAAAGCUCUAUCAGCAGGGAAGAAAAUGACGGUACUUGAGUAAGAAGCACCGGCUAACUACGUGCCAGAAGCCGCGGCAAUACGGAGGGGGCAAGCGUUAUCCGGAUUUACUGGGGGUAAAGGGAGCAUAGACGGCAGUGCAAGUCUGGAGUGAAAGGCGGGGGCUCAACCCCCGGACUGCUGUGGAAACUGUACGGCUGGAGUGCAGGAGAGGUAAGUGGAAUUCCUGGUGUAGCGGUGAAAUGCGUAGAUAUUAGGCAGAACACCAGUGGCGAAGGCGGCUUACUGGACUGUAACUGACGUUGAGGCUCGAAAGCGUGGGGAGCAAACAGGAUUAGAUACCCUAGUAGUC
rnacentral:rRNA from 1 species